AGUGAACGCUGGCGGUAGGCCUAACACAUGCAAGUCGAACGGCAGCACAGUAAGAGCUUGCUCUUACGGGUGGCGAGUGGCGGACGGGUGGGGAAUACAUCGGAAUCUACUUUUUCGUGGGGGAUAACGUAGGGAAACUUACGCUAAUACCGCAUACGACCUACGGGUGAAAGCAGGGGAUCUUCGGACCUUGCGCGAUUGAAUGAGCCGAUGUCGGAUUAGCUAGUUGGCGGGGUAAAGGCCCACCAAGGCGACGAUCCGUAGCUGGUCUGAGAGGAAGAUCAGCCACACUGGAACUGAGACACGGUCCAGACUCCUACAGGAGGAAGCAGUGGGGAAUAUUGGACAAUGGGGGCAAGCCUGAUCCAGCCAUACCGCGUAGGUGAAGAAGGCCUUCGGGUUGUAAAGCCCUUUUGUUGGGAGAGAAAAGCAGCAGGUUAAUACCCCGCUGUUCUGACGGUACCCAAAGAAUAAGCACCGGCUAACUUCGUG
rnacentral:rRNA from 1 species